rnacentral:lncRNA from 1 species
UCUUAUACACAUUAUCAAGGAAAACUUCUGCCACCUGUUUAGCUGAGAAAGGAUGUUUGAGGCCCAUAAAGUGAUUGAAUUUUGACAAACGGUCCACCACCACAAAAUCACCGUGCACCCUUGAGAUACUAGCAAGCCUUCUAUAAAAUCCAUGGUAAUAUUAGUAAACAAGGUAGAUGGAAGGGUUAAUGGUUGCAACAAUCCAGG